GGUUGUGGCUCAGUGGUAGAGUGCUCCUCUAGCAUGUUGGAGGCUAUGUGUUCGAUCCUCAGCACCA
rnacentral:tRNA from 1 species